rnacentral:rRNA from 1 species
GACGAACGCUGGCGGCGUGCUUAACACAUGCAAGUCGAACGGAAAGGCCCUGCUUUUGUGGGGUGCUCGAGUGGCGAACGGGUGAGUAACACGUGAGUAACCUGCCCUUGACUUUGGGAUAACUUCAGGAAACUGGGGCUAAUACCGGAUAGGAGCUCCUGCUGCAUGGUGGGGGUUGGAAAGUUUCGGCGGUUGGGGAUGGACUCGCGGCUUAUCAGCUUGUUGGUGGGGUAGUGGCUUACCAAGGCUUUGACGGGUAGCCGGCCUGAGAGGGUGACCGGCCACAUUGGGACUGAGAUACGGACCAGACUCCUACGGGAGGCAGCAGUGGGGAACAUUGCACAAUGGGCGGAAGCCUGAUGCAGCAACGCCGCGUGCGGGAUGACGGCCUUCGGGUUGUAAACCGCUUUCGCCUGUGACGAAGCGUGAGUGACGGUAAUGGGUAAAGAAGCACCGGCUAACUACGUG